UUUCCGUAGGUGAACCUGCGGAAGGAUCAUUGUCGAAACCUGCCCAGCAGAACGACCCGCGAACUUGUAUAAACAACCGGGGGCGGGGGGCGUUCUCGCCCCGUGCCCCCGAACGGCGGGGAGACACUCGUGCCUUCUUGCCGAACAACGAACCCCGGCGCGGUUUGCGCCAAGGAACUUCAACUAAAGAGUGCCUCCGGUCGCCUCGGAAACGGCGUGCGUGCCGGGGGCGAAUCUUGUGCAAAACCAUAACGACUCUCGGCAACGGAUAUCUCGGCUCUC
rnacentral:misc_RNA from 1 species